UCUCUGUUAGUAUAUCGGUUAGUACACGCGCCUGUCAUGAAAUAUGGUGCGCGCGAAAGCUGGGUUCGACUCCCAGACAGAGAG